ACCCCAGAUGAGCAAGAAAGCAUGUGUCACUGACAGUAACAGAGGAUUUGAAACUGAGAGGGAGAGAAAUUGGUCAACAGGCCUUCUCUAUGGAACCAAAAUAACCCUGCUGAAACAUGGGUGUAACCAUACAGUGUUAUAUAAUCUGGUUUAUUAUUGCCUGGAUGGACAGAAAACUGCUGGAGAACCAUAUUUUAGCCUACGUAUCUAUAAAGGACCUCAGUUUCGGUCUGAACUCUUGUGGGGUUGCCGUGUCAAGGAAGGCCUUCUGUUUUCCUGGGAGUAAAGACAUAACAUCAGUGGAGUCUCAC